CCUGCUGUCUGCCUUGACAGUGCAGGCUCUCUGCAGCCCCUGAUGAAAGCACAAACAGCACAAAAAGGUACCCAGCCAAGUGACUAACUGCUUCAGCUGGGAACCAGCCAGAACUGGGAGUAAACAUUUGGGCUGGAGAUUAGGAAAUCUACACCAUGGAGGAUGUCACAGGCCAUUGUCUGGGAUUCUGCCCCUGGUGUUUAGGAGAGAUGAGGUUUGGCUGUGGGCAUCUUUCCCCAAGUCCAGCAAGGAGCACAGUUCAGCCAUCUAAAGCAGAAACCAGAGACAGCAGCCAGGUCUCCUGCUAACUUCAGCUUGGAUUUCAUACUCAGUGAAGGCAUCCAGGAAUUUUAAGGGUUACUACUCAGCAAAGAAGCAAGUCAGAAUGAAUAUGAAAACUGCUGCAAAGAAGUCAAAUUCUUGAAAGCAAGGAAAGAUUGGAAACAUCCACCAAGCUUCCCCAGCCUUCAAAAAUUGGGUGUGCAGGCUGUGGAUAUUCAGGGGCAUCCCACAGAGGUGUGAUCCUGACAGCAGCAGUGACAACAGAAAAUGCACACAUUGGAAUGGGGACAGGCCCAAUCGGCUGGAAUCCCUUUGGUGAGAAAUUGUUUGCCUUAACAAAUUUGGACACUGCAGAAAUUGCCUAAGCCUACCAGGAGAACCUGCAUUAAAAAUCACUGUUCAUGAGAAAGUGGCAUACAGUUAAAACAAGUUGAAGUGUGUAAUAAAUUUCCUGGACAAGUCACUGUACAGCUGGGGCCUUUCAUAUUGUCACAUGUUCACACACCCUCUAUUUUGGGUUUAGCAGGGACACCUUACUAAGUUUCACCAUCCCAGCUUUAUGGGUUUGGCACACUGAAUAAAAAAUUUCCCAGCCCUUUCUGUGAUUUUAUUUUUUCAGGUACAGCAUUUUGUAUUUGCAGCUCUUAAGGGCAUUGGGUGUCAAUGUAAAUUAUGUAAAUGGACAAAGUGAAAUUAUUUGGGAAUAUUUCCCUUUAUAUCAGCAGCC